AUCCUCGAUCGGGACCGAAAAGGACCUGAACUUGCGCAGUGACUUGCCAUUGAGCCCGCGAGGUUCAGGAGACAGGGGUGACGGAAAGAACGCCCAAGGCCGACUGCUGCCCUCAGUUAUCGGGGCUCCACAUGGACCAAACCCAGCUGGCAGUCAGAGGGCUAGAGCGUCUUGAUGCAGCACAUAUAGGCCAUUCCAGGGUGCAGUGCAGGAUGGAAAAGGAGGAAUGUACCUGAAGAGGCAAAUGAAAGAUAUACAGCAUCACAGGCAAUCUUGCUUCUACUACCAUAAAAAUAGUUUACAUUUCUUAAACACUUA
rnacentral:lncRNA from 1 species